UUCUGUUAUGUUACUAAUGUAAUAUAAUACCAAUAUAGGUAUGUUCUAUAUGAUUAUUUUAAACAGAGAGAACAGUAUCGAGACAUCAGAACCUAUGAGUGAAGUGGAAUUACUGAUAUUAUAAUUCAAAACUUUUCGGUUAGAGUCCGUCUAUGCUAACUCUGCACCGUGUUUGAAAGCACAGAGUAAGGAAGUGUUAUUUUAAACAUCAUAAUAUCAUAUAAAUUUGACGUUUAUGAUAACACUAAUUAUGACGUUUAAAAGAACACUUCCACACUCUGUGCUGCAGAGUUAGCUUAGUUGGACUCUAACAGUAUCACAAAAUAGUUCAAAAUCUACCAAUCUAUCUAACUCGAGUAUCUUGGUUUAAUUUACGUGUAACUAUUAUUUAAGUGACUUAGUUCUGUUCUGAGCCAACAUAUAUAGUUGUAUAAACCUACCCAGAAAAAAUUGGUAUGUAUUGGUGCUUACUAGUGUUGAAUUUGUGGGCCACCACCUAAUUGUUGUAUUGGACUAUCCCAUCAAAAACAUAAGUGUAAAAUGAGAGCAAAGUUCAAUAGGUAUUAAGAAUAUGUGUCGUUGUAGACUUCGCCGGCAUGGCAAAAGAAUUAAAAUCUAUAUGGAUGCCAAGUUCUAGUUCACUUGGCAUGUACAUAAUUAUGUACUUCAAUUUGACUUGGCUAGUUUUUACGUACCGUGGAUUGGGGUUACUUUGGUUCCUGGGUUUACUUUGAUAAAAACUUUAAUUCAGGUUCAAACUCAAAUAUUACGCUUUCUGAACGCAUCCUUUGGAUAUUUUUUACGGUUGGCAAGAUUGAACGUCACUGCCUGUUUGUGAUUUAUGUUCGAGGGAUAAACCACGUCGAUCGAUGAGAAAAAAAUUAAAAUAUAAUAAUGCCUUGAACAUUUAAAAAAACCAUUAGUUUCCCGAGCAUAUCGGAACUACUAUGAAAAAGUUUUAAACCUGUGGCAGAAGAGGUUGAAGCCAGGCUGUUGAUAGAUACGCCAAGCAUCCGAACAUCAUGGUGUUGUCGAUUACAUAUUGUUGGUAAAGUUUGAUAACUUUUUAUUGUUCAAUACUUAUGCUUUUAAACAUAAAUAACUAAAAUAUGACACUGUUUUGAAAUAAAGUUGAUUUUUCUUAAA